CUGUGGUGGACCUCCCUGGGGCUGUGCCAGGCUGGCUCGACCAGCGCCGGUGUGGCUGAGGUGGAGAAGAGGCAGACUUCCCAAUGAGGGCAAGAAAGAAAUCCUGCCUGGCGAGGAACUUCAGCGACGAGGGCUUUGCAAGUUGUUCUGACAUUUCUAACCUUUUAGCCAAACUGGCUUUCCUCAAAAAUAGUACCGAGAGCCUGAGUUGCUUCUAGUAGCACCCGACGCAGCUGCACGUCUCGAGAGCUGCUGCUGGCAGGGUGGCCCGUGGGGGAUCUGUGCCAGGAUCUGGGGGUUUCUCUCCAAUAUCGCCCUGCUGACCACCUUGCUGUUUUUGGGAACAUGUGUGGGGACAGCGAAGGGGCUGGUGAUGCUGAUUCCUCCCAGGAUUGCUGCUUCUCCUUUCACCGUGGUCAUAGCGAGGAGUUUGCGUGCAGUGGGAAUGGGAAGGCUGGUGGUGUUUUUACGGGGUGGGGUUGGAGACUCUUCCUUGUGGAAACUCUUUGGUCUUCUUGGGUUAUCAGCAACGGGAGAUGCUCUGUGGUGAUCAUCCUGCUCAACACUCGCAGAGACCAGGCACCGACACCAGAACCGCGCCGGGGCUGUCCUGCAAGCGCUGGUGGCAUCGCCUCACAGCUGGGGCUGCAGCCUCCCUCCAGGAUCGUGCCACACCAGCAGUUACAGAGAACAACUGAAAGCACUGUGUCACCCCAGAUCACAGGCGAAGCAUCAUACAGAAGAGAGCCUUGGGCAGUGCUCCCCUUCUUCUCAGGUUUAGUGGGCACCAACAUCUCCCUCAGGACCUGAGCACUGUCCUGGAAAGGUUGUGAAGGGGAAAAUAUCAGCAAAGGCACUAUAGCUAAGGGUGCAUCCGCUUCAGUUCUCUUGGGACUUUCUUUAUCUUUUUCUGAAAUGUUCAUAACCAGCUGUGUUCCUCUCCUUUAUGUAACUGGCCAUCCUGUGAGAGCCCCCAGGGGCUAGAAUUUGAAAAUAACAUUAUUCUUUGUAACCAGGGCGAACUAAUAAUUUGAUGCCAGCCUCAACCUUUCACGAAUAUUCAAGCGUCUGGUUUUGAGGACACAUUAUUUUGGGUGUGGGAUAUGCCAUAGCCUCCAUGUUAUGGCCUAUUGCUAGCAUUUGUCAGAUUGUUGUUGUUGUUGUUCUGUUUGCUCAACUUUGAAGCUUACAGAAAUGUCUUAAGUUUCCAACAGGAGAAAUGGUUACAUUUAAAAAAAAUAUAAAGAUUUCUCCAAAUUUCCAGCUGUCACCCUUGGCAAUCAGAGGGGGAGAGAUUCCGCCAUAAGCAGAUGAAGCCUUUUUCAGUGGUUCAGAUGCCGACUCUCCAUCUCUUCAGCAUCCAGAGCAGUCUGUCUGCAGUGGACUGGAAGUUGUCUCAUCAGACGCGCGGUGCAGCCUCACCACCUGACAUGUUAUGACAAGCUUUUAACUUUUGAGCGGCGAUGGAUGGAAACGUGUCACUGCUUUGGGAGCAGCACAGCACAGGCUGCCAAAAGUAGUUGAUGUUGCAGUGGCAUCAGUCCCUCCAAGGUAGACACCCGUCCCAGCCCUGGUGCUCCAUGAGGGAAGAAGCCAGGAUGCUUCAGGUGGCCUACACAGACCUGAGGCAAAUUAUUUGCUGCAAAUCCCCGUAUUCAUACACAUUUCUCAGGGCCAAAUGCCAACAGUCGAGUUAUUUGGGCUUUUCAGUGAUUGUGUCAUUUUGAUUGAAUAUUCCUCGAGUCCCCAAUUUUCUGACCAACAUCAAUCCCAAUCAGGGCCUCAGAGUCUCCUAUCAAGGCCUAGAAGCUAGUACAAAAUUUAGAGCAAAUGGAGAAAAAGAAACAUUGGUGACAGGUCGCCUGUGGUUUGAAAGAGCAAGAGCUGUCCUUCCUGGCAGGCUGCCUUUUUCUAUCUGCAAUCUGUCCUACAAAGUGGAUGGGAGAUAACUCACUGGCAGAUCCCUCCCCUGUGCUCAUAAAAGAGGUUUUAAUUUACCGGUGUUAGCUUGGCACUACUGAGCAAUAUUGGAAUGACAACUCCCAUCACGCUCAAUGCACUUCCAAAACAUAUUAAUAAACUUAUAAAAGGAAAUGGAGCUGAGGAUUCA
ensembl:lncRNA